rnacentral:lncRNA from 10 species
GUGAAAAUUACACUGUUGCUAAUGAGAAGUCAGGAAAACACCAAAAAACCAAAAAACAUAUGUUUUCUCAAGCCUAAAUCUCUGGAGAAUCCUUCUAGGUCUCUAAUGUGGUGAUUGCUUUAAACACCCAAAUGUGCUGAAAAUGCUGCCUGAAGUGGAUAGAGGCUCAUCAUUUGCAUGUUAUAAUAAGGUUCCUAGAGUUCUCAGGUUGUGAUCAUAUUAUUUAUCUCAUUCCAACAUUGAGAACUUUUCUUGUCACACCUCUUUUAUCUAACAUAGCAACGCUAUUUUUUCAACUCAUUUCCUUCUCUAACUUUGUUACCCAAUGUCUACUACAUUUUCUUCUUAGUGCUAAUCAUGUGGGAGAGGUGAGAGAAGUUAAAGACAGCCCUUAUACAUUGCCAUCUCCCCAAAAGAACAUCCCAUACAGACUUAAGCACCUCGAUUAAAACUUAAACUAUCUGGUAUAACUUAUCUUGUAUAACUUAUCUGGUGUUCAAUUUAUUCUCUCCAAGACCGUUCCUUACCUCAUUCAUUAAUCCCUGAGGAUUGGAGUAAAGGCUUUCCAGUCCAAGGUAACACUUAAAUUUUGUUGGCUCACUUUGCAGCCUCUACAUCUUAUUCCAAAUAAUUAACCCUGGAAGUUUGGCUAAAUAAAUUUCAAAGAAUCCAAAGUACUAUCUUUCCACAUUCUCAUAUGAUACCCAGAUAAUAAAGAUAAUGAAGAAGGUAGACUAUUUUUUUCAGAAAGGAUGGCUUGACAUUAUUUCUAACCCCUUAUCUUCUCUGUUCUCCUCCAGAAACCCCUGAAGCAGGAAACAGGGUCUGGAGGCAGGGAACCUAAUGACUUCCUGGAACUAAUUUAAAUGGAAUUAAAUUAAACUUUCUAAGCCCAGAUUUUGAUGUCCCAUUGGCUGUCUGGUUCAGAAUUCAUAAUGCUUUGUCGGCGUCUCAAGUUAAGUUUGAAGAACAUGUCCAAAUUCUCCAUUUCACCUCCAUUCAAUGCAACUGUUGGCAGCAUAGAAAUUAUCUUCAAGGUAAACAUGAAGAAACCCUAAGGAAAUAAUACUUGCCCUUCCAUUGGGGUAAUGACCUGGCAACUGUAGACAUCUGGGGGUGAUAGGAAUUAUUCGACAGGUUCUUUUUAAAAAUAGGUAAUGAUCCUUUAAAGGAUGAAACCCCAUUUCAUAACAUGCAAUUUUGUUAACCACUCUGUUUAGAAAACCGGGCUCUCUCUGGUUUCCCAGCGCUGGUAGCUCGGCUUGACGCAUGAGGUUGGGGCUGCCUGGGUCAUGCCAAUUUAGAUUACUGGAUCUCACAGGAUGCUACAAGGCAGACACACCCCAGAGUGACUCACUGAGUGGGAAGUUUAAAAAGAUGGUUUUCCUCAGCCAUCAAUUAGAUAAACCACAUUUUCCAGGAGAAAAACAGCGUCUUGAAAAGUUCUUUACAAACAAAGCUUUCUUUGCUCAUUCAGCUUUGGGUCAUGUUUUCUUGUGAAGGGAAGUAUGACUUUAACCUUAAUUGCACUUACAAAUUAGCAAGUAAAAUAAUGCCAGCCUUUCCCCCUUCCUUCCUUCCUUCCUUUCUCUCUCUCUCUCUCUCUCUCUCUUCCCUAUCCUCUCUCUUUUCCCUCAGAGGAAGACACUUUUAUGAUUUUAGCUCUGGUAAAAUUAGAGUGUUCUUCCUCUUUGCCUCUUCCCUCAAAGCUGUGGUUUUGACCAACCAUGUGAUGAAUGAGUUAUAGGUAGAGGCCUGAGAUCUGUUUCUUCUGCCCUGAAUAGUCUACUCUUCUUUAUACAUUUUUUUUAACCUUUUAUUGCAAUCUCAUUGAAAACGUACUCAGGAAAGGACAUUUGUAAGUUGUGUCUUUUUAAAAAUGACAGUUUUGAUUUAGGAUGUGUGUCCAGAAGAACUGAACACUGAAAAAAAAAUCUAAAUCUCCUUGCCUUAUGGUUAUUUUGCAUGUUUGGAAAGUACCAAAUAAGUUUCUCCCACUGCAUUGUAAGAUUCUCAAAGACAAAAC